rnacentral:rRNA from 1 species
AGUCCGAACGGAAAGGCCUGCAGCUUGCUGCGGGUACUCGAGUGGCGAACGGGUGAGUAACACGUGGGUGAUCUGCCUUGCACUUCGGGAUAAGCUUGGGAAACUGGGUCUAAUACCGGAUAGGACAGCUGUUUAGUGUCAGUUGUGGAAAGUUUUUUCGGUGCAAGAUGAGCUUGCGGCCUAUCAGCUUGUUGGUGGGGUAAUGGCCUACCAAGGCGUCGACGGGUAGCCGGCCUGAGAGGGUGUACGGCCACAUUGGGACUGAGAUACGGCCCAGACUCCUACGGGAGGCAGCAGUGGGGAAUAUUGCACAAUGGGCGGAAGCCUGAUGCAGCGACGCCGCGUGGGGGAUGAAGGCCUUCGGGUUGUAAACUCCUUUCGACAGGGACGAAGCGUAAGUGACGGUACCUGUAUAAGAAGCACCGGCUAACUACGUGCCAGCAGCCGCGGUAAUACGUAGGGUGCGAGCGUUGUCCGGAAUUACUGGGCGUAAAGAGCUCGUAGGUGGUUUGUCGCGUCGUCUGUGAAAUUCCGGGGCUUAACUCCGGGCGUGCAGGCGAUACGGGCUGACUUGAGUGCUGUAGGGGAGACUGGAAUUCCUGGUGUAGCGGUGAAAUGCGCAGAUAUCAGGAGGAACACCGAUGGCGAAGGCAGGUCUCUGGGCAGUAACUGACGCUGAGGAGCGAAAGCAUGGGUAGCGAACAGGAUUAGAUACCCUGGUAGUCCAUGCCGUAAACGGUGGGCGCUAGGUGUAGGGGGCUUCCACGUCUUCUGUGCCGUAGCUAACGCAUUAAGCGCCCCGCCUGGGGAGUACGCCGCAAGGCUA